AUUGAACGCUGGCGGCAGGCCUAACACAUGCAAGUCGAACGAGUGGCGGACGGGUGAGUAAUGUCUGGGAAACUGCCCGAUGGAGGGGGAUAACCACUGGAAACGGGAGCUAAUACCGUAUACCAUCGUAUGUGCCCAGAUGGGAUUAUCUAGUGGGUGGGGUAACGGCUCACCUAGGCGACGAUCCCUAGCUGGUCUGAGAGGAUGACCAGCCACACUGGAACUGAGACACGGUCCAGACUCCUACGGGAGGCAGCAGUGGGGAAUAUUGCACAAUGGGCGCAAGCCUGAUGCAGCCAUGCCGCGUGUAUGAAGAAGGCCUUCGGGUUGUAAAGUACUUUCAGCGAGGAGGCGUUACUCGCAGAAGAAGCACCGGCUAACUCCGUGCCAGCCGCCGCGGUAAUAC
rnacentral:rRNA from 1 species